GAUGAACGCUGACAGAAUGCUUAACACAUGCAAGUCUUUGGCGAAGCUGUGCUUGCACCGCCUAGCCAAGGCGGACGGGUGAGUAACGCGUAAGGAACUUGCCCUGCAGUCAGGGAUAACAGACGGAAACGACUGAUAAGACCUGGUAAAGUCAGGCGGACUCAUGUCCAGCCUGAUGAAAAGAGAUGCUGCAGGAGAGCCUUGCGUCCUAUCAGCUUGUUGGUGGGGUAACGGCCCACCAAGGCGAUGAUAGGUAGCCGGCCUGAGAGGGUGGACGGCCACAAGGGGACUGAGAUACGGCCCUUACUCCUACGGGAGGCAGCAGUGGGGAAUAUUGGACAAUGGGGGCAACCCUGAUCCAGCAAUUCUGUGUGCACGAUGAAGGUUUUCGGAUUGUAAAGUGCUUUCAGCAGGGAAGAAAAAAUGACGGUACCUGCAGAAGAAGCGACGGCUAAAUACGUG
rnacentral:rRNA from 1 species